UUCAUUUUAGAUUCAUACAAGCAGAAGAAGGAAACUUGGGAAACACAAAGUCUCCUUUGAAGGAAAGAAAUCCUGAAUGAAGAAACAGGGGGAUAUACUGCCAUCUUAAACCAACCCAAACGCCUCUGCCGCAGUCGCAGUUAUUUAGGGUGGAGGAGCGGGCUCUGGCAACUAGAGAAGGUGGCCGCAGCAUGGGGACACCCGAAUUGAGGAGCUGUUUGGGCAAUAAGCUGAUUUAGAGAAUAAAGACCUACACAGAUGGGAGUGGAAUCUGCAACUGCUCAAUCCAUCCACUGAGAAAUCCCAGAAAAGAUGGACAAUCCAUAACUGAAACCCAAACUUCGGCACAACGAUCAAAUUCUACAUGCAUAAAGCAAGAGCUCUGUGUGCCAGACCCAUCUUAAAGCCACCCCACCCAGAAGACAGAGUCUGUCUCCUUCCCCUAAACAAUGUGCAGAAACCGCCCUGGUAUUUCACGGGUUCUCACUGAGGAAAAUUGAGUUUUGUUCAGUGAUGCCCCUUCUGCACUGGUUAGUUUCAUGUGACAAAGAGCUCUAGGAAGGACUUUUGCUAGGGGAACGUAGGAUUGUUCCAGCAAGAUGAAGGCCUAGAAGACCUGGAUGGCCUGGGUGUUUUCUUCCCAGGGAGAGCAGAGGAGGCCCGGAUUUGAACUCGAGUCUUAUGACUUUGCCAUUGAGGCAACAUCCAAAAUAAAAAUAGCGUGCUAACCCCAAA